rnacentral:lncRNA from 1 species
GCAGCUGAGCAGAAUCGGCGCUCGCAGUCUGCUGCCCGGCCUGGCAGGAGCUCCUUCUCCUCCUUCUCCAGGAAAUUCCCGGCCUUUGCUGCCCCAUCCCGUGACUGCUGCCCCAGACGUGGGUAAUGCCAGCGUUGCAGAGCCCCCUCCCUCCAGCACCUCUGCCGUAUUUACUUGUUUUUCCCCGUUUUAUGCUUAGGCUUGAAGUUCUUCAGGACGUGGAGCAUCUCCUUGCUUAUUUUUGAGCAUCUCCAACAACGAGGUGUCGGCGCUGAGCUGCUGUUGGGACACAAAUACCGAGGAGGAAUAACACUUCCUCGGUAACGAUUCAGCCCAGGGUCCAGGCCGGUUGGCGACCUGAGAAAACCAGUCCUGUCCUGGAGCGUGUCGCACUCCUCCCUCAGCCCUCCUCCUGCUAAACACAUCCUGAGAAAACAACACGGUGUGCUGCCAAAAUAGCAGAAAGAAGCAACUCCCCAAACAGGAGGCCUUCCCCCAGCUCCGCCGUGUGAACCGCAGGUCUCGUGAAGCAGCAGGAGAGACAGGGAAAGUACACGCGGCUGAACUGGGCUGACAGACAGGGUGAAGCCCGAGGACCUGGUUCCUGGCAGCGACUGGCAGAUGAAGUGAAAGAGCAUUGGAAACGUGCGGUGGUGCUGCAGCCAAGACGAGCUGGAAAGAGGUGUACAGCUUCUUGCUCGACUUCUGCGCUCAUCAGGUUAAGAAUUAAAAAGAGAGAAAGGAGAACAAGAUGGAAGAGCUCCCAGAGAGCCAACAGGCCUCCUGCCCUGCGCUGGAUUCAGACCUUGCUGAAGCUGCUGCUUCCCAGCGAUGGCUUCGUGCCGCUUCUCCUCCCCCACCACGUCACGCGCGGCUCGUCCCACCACGGCAAAUCCACGUUUUAGAUGCGGAAGCAGGCAAAUGCCGGCGGAGAGCGAGGCAAGGAUGCACGAAGCGAUCUCAGCUUGUCAGGCAACAUCGGCUCUCCCACCAUCGGGGAGGAGGCAGAAACAGCGGCUCUGUGAACACAGCACAAAGAGCAAGCUUCGGCGUGUAAAACCACGAUCGCACUGCAGAGCUCAAGCAAACCAUCCGAGAGAGCUCCUACGAUCAGUGCAUGAGCUCGUGCUGAGAUUUCUCCACCGAUUUCUCCACCAAAUGUACAGUAUUUCCAUGCACAGUCAGGGGCGGCAGAAAAAAAAUAAUAAUCCUUUAACUGCAUUUUCCAGUACUACGUUACUUCAGAGGUUAACCGAAAUCACUUACUUCAUAGCUAACUUUGCUAUAUCGAAUCAAUGUACAAGUUCCUUAUUGGAUUUUUAUUACAGGUAAAAUUGACAGAGAAAAUCACUAGGAUAUACUUAAAAAUGGGAAGGAAAUGUACGUUUACAAUAAAAAGGUCUCUGAAGGUCUCUUGUUUCA